rnacentral:rRNA from 1 species
GACGAACGCUGGCGGCGUGCCUAAUACAUGCAAGUAGAACGCUGAAGGAGGAGCUUGCUUCUCUGGAUGAGUUGCGAACGGGUGAGUAACGCGUAGGUAACCUGCCUGGUAGCGGGGGAUAACUAUUGGAAACGAUAGCUAAUACCGCAUAAGAGUGGAUGUUGCAUGACAUUUGCUUAAAAGGUGCACUUGCAUCACUACCAGAUGGACCUGCGUUGUAUUAGCUAGUUGGUGGGGUAACGGCUCACCAAGGCGACGAUACAUAGCCGAUCUGAGAGGGUGAUCGGCCACACUGGGACUGAGACACGGCCCAGACUCCUACGGGAGGCAGCAGUAGGGAAUCUUCGGCAAUGGACGGAAGUCUGACCGAGCAACGCCGCGUGAGUGAAGAAGGUUUUCGGAUCGUAAAGCUCUGUUGUAAGAGAAGAACGAGUGUGAGAGUGGAAAGUUCACACUGUGACGGUAUCUUACCAGAAAGGGACGGCUAACUACGUGCCAGCAGCCGCGGUAAUACGUAGGUCCCGAGCGUUGUCCGGAUUUAUUGGGCGUAAAGCGAGCGCAGGCGGUUAGAUAAGUCUGAAGUUAAAGGCUGUGGCUUAACCAUAGUAGGCUUUGGAAACUGUUUAACUUGAGUGCAAGAGGGGAGAGUGGAAUUCCAUGUGUAGCGGUGAAAUGCGCAGAUAUAUGGAGGAACACCGGUGGCGAAAGCGGCUCUCUGGCUUGUAACUGACGCUGAGGCUCGAAAGCGUGGGGAGCAAACAGG